GACGAACGCUGGCGGCGUGCUUAACACAUGCAAGUCGAGCGGAGCGGCGAACGGGUGAGUAACGCGUGAGUAACUGCCCCCCUCUCUGGGAUAACAGUUGGAAACGGCUGCUAAUACCGGAUAGUGGGGGAUGACUCGCGUCCUAUCAUCUUGUUGGUGGGGUAGUGGACUACCAAGGCGACGACGGGUAGCCGGCCUGAGAGGGCGACCGGCCACAUGGGGCUGCGGUACGGCCCAGACUCCUACGGGAGGCAGCAGUGGAGAAUAUGACACAGUGGGGGAAACCCUGAGGCGGCGGCGCCGCGUGCGGGAUGACGGCCUUCGGGUUGUAAACCGCUUUCAGCCAUGACGCGGUAGUGGCAGAAGAAGCACCGGCUAACUACGUGCCAGCCGCCGCGGUAAUAC
rnacentral:rRNA from 1 species